UUUUUCUCAUUAAAACUUUCUGGAAGUGCAAGUCUGAGGCAAGAGGCACCUGGCUUUACAGGAACUAUGUUGUGGCAAGAGAAGGACUUGGCUAUUGAUGAGAAACCUCUGUUUCACUUUAGAAUCCACAACCAGAAAUGUCCAAGUGAGCGAGAGAUGUGCAAAGCUCCAACUGGCACAGACUGGAAUUCUAAAGUAAAAUAAAAUCCUCAGGACUCCGCAUGGUGCCCUUUAAGUACCAAGCUGCUUAAAAUAUCAUUCUGUUUAUUGUAAUUUGAUGUGUGAAAU
rnacentral:lncRNA from 1 species